rnacentral:rRNA from 1 species
ACGAACGCUGGCGGCAUGGAUUAGGCAUGCAAGUCGAACGGUUAACAGGGGCAACUCUGUUGAUAGUGGCGAAAGGGUGAGGAACGCGUGAGUAACCUGCCUUCAAGUCGGGAAUAGCCCCGGGAAACUGGGAUUAACACCGGAUGUGGUGAUAGGAUCGCAUGAUCUUAUGACUAAAAAUUUAUUGCUUGAAGAGGGGCUCGCGUCCCAUUAGCUAGUUGGUGAGGUAACGGCCCACCAAGGCUGUGAUGGGUAGCUGGUCUGAGAGGACGACCAGCCACACUGGGACUGAGACACUGCCCAGACUCCUACGGGAGGCUGCAGUCGAGAAUCUUCCGCAAUGCGCGAAAGCGUGACGGAGCAAUGCCGCGUGCAGGACGAAGGCCUUCGGGUCGUAAACUGCUGUCACCGGGGAAGAAAAAAAUGACGGUACCCGGAGAGGAAGUCACGGCUAACUACGU